rnacentral:lncRNA from 1 species
GAGACUGGUUUGUCUGAUGCUGCUGCCGGAGCUGAGGUCUUGCCUGGAGAUCCGAACGAGACACCACGUCAACCGGCGCGGGGAGUCCCGUGAAGACAUGAGGGCGCCAGGAGCGCAGGCUGGUCUUCUAGAGCCCGGGCUGGGGGUCCGGGGUCCGGGGUGGGGGAGGGGAGGCGCGGGGCCCCGGGAGGGAGGGGUCGGGAGGCGUCGGCUGGGCCUGGCGGUGGGGGAGGAGAGGAGAGCAGCGAGGAGGCCCUGGAGUUCCCGAGGCGGGGGGCCGGGGUGCGAGUGGGCGACGCGAGGCGCCCCUCCCUGGGCUGCAGGGAGAGCGCUGAGAGCGCGGAGACGCCGCGGGGCUAGCGCCUUCUCCUCUCCGGGUGGAUCAAAAAUCGAGAGGAAUGUGCGGCGCUCUGCGCGGGCCAGCCGAAAGGGGCAAUCCGAACUUGACCGCGGCGCCCGCGCCGGGCUUUGCCCCCGCGCGCCGCACUGGGAGGGUGGCGCUCUGCCGGUGCAGGGCAGCGCCGGGCUUUCCUCGCGCCUGUCGAAGGCCGGCCUUCCCGCUCGGGUGUCUCGCCCUCUCGCUUCUCCGCAGGGCAGGAGGCAGUGGCGAGAAAAGGAGCUGCCGGCCGGAGUUCUAGCACCGAGAAGGAGAGUACUGGAAUACCUGAGUUUUGGCUGGGCACAGAACUGUCUGGAAUACAGACUGCAAUUCCCAGCCUUCUGUGCAGUUCUGUGUGGCCAUGUGACUAAGUUGUGGUCAAUAUGAGUCACGGAAGAAUAGAAGAACAACUCAGAGGAGGAAGAAGUCAGACAUAGCCAGACACGGCUGCUAGCAGUUCCACCAAUGAAAGAGGAGACCAGGAUGUUUAAAACAGGCAAACACAAGGUGCGAAAAACCAGAAGCGAAAACUUCUGAGGUCAUUUAAGCAAGGACUAUCGUUAUCCCCGGAAGCAGAGAGAAGUUCCCUUUGCCCAACAUCACACUGCAAGCACGUGUUGGAGCUGAGAUUCAAACCCAGGCAUCCAGGGUCCAGGGCCCAUGCUUUUAAUAUAUUCCAUAUCUUAGGAGAAUUUCCCCUAUUUAAACAAUAAAAGUGCAAAAAUCUUGUGGCUAGCCAAAA